GCCACGGCUCAGUGGUAGAGCAUAUCCCUUGCAAGCAGAGAGACACAGGUUCAAUCCCUGGUAUCUCCA